rnacentral:rRNA from 1 species
GAUGAACGCUGGCGGCGUGCCUAAUACAUGCAAGUCGAGCGAACAGACGAGGAGCUUGCUCCUCUGACGUUAGCGGCGGACGGGUGAGUAACACGUGGAUAACCUACCUAUAAGACUGGGAUAACUUCGGGAAACCGGAGCUAAUACCGGAUAAUAUAUUGAACCGCAUGGUUCAAUAGUGAAAGACGGUUUUGCUGUCACUUAUAGAUGGAUCCGCGCCGCAUUAGCUAGUUGUUAAGGUAACGGCUUACCAAGGCAACGAUGCGUAGCCGACCUGAGAGGGUGAUCGGCCACACUGGAACUGAGACACGGUCCAGACUCCUACGGGAGGCAGCAGUAGGGAAUCUUCCGCAAUGGGCGAAAUCUUGACGGAGCAACGCAGCGUGAGUGAUGAAGGUCUUCGGAUCGUAAAACUCUGUUAUUAGGGAAGAACAAAUGUGUAAGUAACUAUGCACGUCUUGACGGUACCUAAUCAGAAAGCCACGGCUAACUACGUG